rnacentral:rRNA from 1 species
UCGCUACUACCGAUUGAAUGGCUUAGUGAGCUCUCUGGACUGUUGCACUCUGAGGGCAACCUCGGUGAGCAUACGGGAAGGAGAUCAAACUUGAUCAUUUAGAGGAAGUAA